AGAGUUUGAUCCUGGCUCAGAACGAACGCUGGCGGCAGGCUUAACACAUGCAAGUCGAACGCCCCGCAAGGGGAGUGGCAGACGGGUGAGUAACGCGUGGGAAUCUACCUAGUUCUACGGAACAACACAGGGAAACUUGUGCUAAUACCGUAUACGCCCUACGGGGGAAAGAUUUAUCGGAAUUAGAUGAGCCCGCGUAAGAUUAGCUAGUUGGUGGGGUAAUGGCCUACCAAGGCGACGAUCUUUAGCUGGUCUGAGAGGAUGAUCAGCCACACUGGGACUGAGACACGGCCCAGACUCCUACGGGAGGCAGCAGUGGGGAAUAUUGGACAAUGGGCGAAAGCCUGAUCCAGCCAUGCCGCGUGAGUGAUGAAGGCCUUAGGGUUGUAAAGCUCUUUCAGUAGGGAAGAUAAUGACGGUACCUACAGAAGAAGCCCCGGCUAACUUCGUGCCAGCAGCCGCGGUAAUACGAAGGGGGCUAGCGUUGUUCGGAUUUACUGGGCGUAAAGCGCACGUAGGCGGAUUGUUAAGUCAGGGGUGAAAUCCUGGAGCUCAACUCCAGAACUGCCUUUGAUACUGGCAAUCUAGAGUCCGGAAGAGGUGAGUGGAACUCCUAGUGUAGAGGUGGAAUUCGUAGAUAUUAGGAAGAACACCAGUGGCGAAGGCGGCUCACUGGUCCGGUACUGACGCUGAGGUGCGAAAGCGUGGGGAGCAAACAGGAUUAGAUACCCUAGUAGUCC
rnacentral:rRNA from 1 species